GAUUUACAAUGUUGUGCCAAUUUCUGCUAUACAGCAAAGUGACUCAGUCAUAUAUAUAUACACAUAUAUAUGUAUAUACANCAUUCUAAAUGUAGCAGUUUGCAUCUACUAACCCCAAACUCCCCAUCCAUUCCACUUCAUUUCCCCACCCCCUUGGCUACCACAAGUCUGUUCUCUAUGUCUGUGAGUCUGUUUACUAUUUUUUAAAGAUAAAAGGAGGAUCUCUAAAAGAUAAUAUAGACAUCAAAGUACUAAGUGUCCAUAAUGUGAAGGCUCAUUGUGUUUCUGACAUUCUGUUUUACUAUGUCUGAGUUUGAAGAACAAUGAUGAAAAGCUUUCCUCUCUCUGGGUACAACACUCAAAAGGGCAGUAAUUACCACAAGGGAAGAAAGACAUGCUUGUUUCUGGCAUUUUGCCAUUAUUAAUUUGUCCCAGGACAAUUUUGUACCAAGUGCUUUCUAUUCUUUUUUUAACACGGAUAACCACAUUUGCACAGUUAGCAAUUGUUUUUGCAAUGUUAACAAGCAAGAAGAAUCUGGUCCAAUAUGGAGUUCCAUUUUUACAGGUUUCUAUUUAUUUAAAUUGUCAAAGGACACAGUUGGUAAAGAGACAAACCCUUUAAAAAUCAUUAUUUUUCACACCAAAAUCAUGUUAUAUAUAUAUAUAUAUAUUAGUGAUUUAUUAUAUUUUUCUCAACAAUCUCAUGUGUUGCUACUUGGGUAAUUUGUUAGCAUGAUUUUUUCUUCUCCUACAUGUAAGCACCUUCAUGAAAAAUAAUUCCUUUCUGUUAACAACAAAUAUGAUGAUGUGGCUGUCAUGUGAAUCAGUGAUAUACUAGAAAGUUUUGAAGUUUAGACAAAAUGUUUCUCCAAAUUAUUACAAAUACUUCAGGAAAAAAUGCUUUUUAAACUUUGUCCAAAGCUCUUUGUAAGUAGCCAUGUUUCCCCCAAUCAAGUUGUUAUGGGAAGAAUCAGGACAAAGCGUAAGAGUUUUCUAUAACUGUUAAAUAUUUAAUUAUAUUGAACAUGGCAUUUAAGUAUGGAUUUUGAUGACUCUGAGAGAGCCAUUAAAAGACUGGAAUCACAGCUAUAAAUUCUAUCAAACUAUUGACCAAUAGGUCCACCAACAUAUCAUAGGCUUACAGUAUUCUCUGGAGGAAUCGUUUCCAGAAAAAAGGUAAACUUAAGCAGGUAUCUCAAAUGCAUAAAAACUUCGAUUUAGUAAACAAUUUACUACAUACACUCAUAAAGAACGUAUUACAUCAAAUACAAAUUUACAUGUUGCUUGUGAUGGUUUUUUUGUGUGUGUUAACUUGGCUAGGCUAUAGUCCUCAGCUACUGAAUCAAAUAGUAAUCUAGAUGUUAUUGUGAAAGUAUUGUGUAGAUGUGAUUGAAGUCCAUGACUUUGAGUGGGGAGAUUAUGGGUUAGCCUGCUUUAACUAGUUGAAAGGGAGAGCUGAAAAUCCCUUGAGAAAAGAAAUUUCCCCUUUGGAAAGAAAACACAGCAAGCACCUGAAAGUCCUAGUCUGCCCUUCCCAGCAGCAAGCCUUAGAGAUUUCAGACUUACCAAGCUAGUCUACAUAAUUGGGUGAGCCAGUUCUUUGCAUUAAAUAUCUUAAUACAUGUCUGCUGGGUUUGCUUUUCUGGCUGAAGCUAGUAACAACAAGACUAUAGGAAGGCAUUCAAGCUAAGUAUAGAAUCAACAGGAUUUAACAUACUUUUAGCUCUCAGCUGUAGAAUCAUGGGACAUUUUUCCUUCAAUGAUUAUAUUAUUUGUAUGUUAUUUGAAGUAUGGUAGAAGAAUAGGUUAUUGCAUUUUGUGAUGGGAAGAAAAAAUAUCACAACUAUCUAUUGGUUGCAUGACACAGGAGACAGCUAAUAAUAUUCAACUUCAUUUUGAGCAUGUUUCAGAUCAAAUGGUAUCAUUCUUAUUAAACAAGAUCUUGGAGUAACUAAAAUAAUUGUGGAAAUAGUUAAGGACAUGGAGAUACUCCUUGACAGAGCAAGAAUUCAAAAUGGUUUAGAAAAAAAUUGUAGAAGUAAUGUUAAGAAGAGUAAGAUGGUUUGGGCAGAGGAAAACUGAACUGGAUAAUAACUGUUGUGUGGGACAUGAUUUUACAAGCAUGUACCAUGAGCAGCAAAUUUAAGUAAAAAGGAUGAGGGGAGGGCAGUGAGAUGGUUGAAAGAGAAACAUAAAAUCAAUUAAGUUGCUUUGGUAUGCAACAAAAUGCUCUCUGAAGAGUGGUCUUCAAACUUUUCUUGAAAAAGGUGUUAAAAAUGCAGUUUCCUGUGCCCCACCUUCAGAUUCUUAUUCAGCAUACAUGUAGUAGGCACAGAAAUCCUGUUUUUUAAGAGAAUGCCAUUAAUACUUCUGAUGCAACUAGUACAACGAUUAUACUUGAAGAUUCAUUGCUUCAAACUCUGCAAUUAUUUUUGAGUUGGAAAGAAAAGUGUACAAACUGCACUUAACUUUUAAUAUCUUUUCAUAGGAUUAUUAUUACUCUUA
rnacentral:lncRNA from 1 species